rnacentral:misc_RNA from 1 species
GAUGAAGAACGUAGCGAAAUGCGAUAAGUAAUGUGAAUUGCAGAAUUCAGUGAAUCAUCGAAUCUUUGAACGCACAUUGCGCCCGCCAGUAUUCUGGCGGGCAUGCCUGUCUGAGCGUCAUUUCAACCCUCAUGCCCCUAGGGCGUGGUGUUGGGGAUCGGCCAAAGCCCGCGAGGGACGGCCGGCCCCUAAAUCUAGUGGCGGACCCGUCGUGGCCUCCUCUGCGAAGUAGUGAUAUUCCGCAUCGGAGAGCGACGAGCCCCUGCCGUUAAACCCCCAACUUUCCAAGGUUGACCUCAGAUCAGGUAGGAAUACCCGCUGAACUUAAGCAUAUCAAUAAGCGGAGA